UGAAAAGUACCCAUUACUAAUAGCACUCAGCAAAGGUGAUCUACCCCAACCAGACAAAGCUGUGUGCCAUUUCCAAGAUGUUGCUGGCACUCGAACUUUCACUCAAGGUGUCUUACAUACCUUCUCCUCACUCUCAUUCAGAAUGUGCUUCCACAUUCUAUGCGCUCAGACUUCAAAAUCUCACCAACUUCAACAUCCAGGAGAAUAGAAGAGAUGGAAAUAAAGGAGGCAAGAAUGGUUUACAGAUCCAGCUGAAACCGAAUGGAAGGAAAGGCAGUGGAUUUCAUCAAGAUCCUACAGACAAGGCUGCCAAGUACUAUGAAAAACAACAACAACAACAACAACAAAAACUCAGGUUGACCAAUUGGAAACUCUAUAAAUCCAUGGAGUUCAACAUCAGGAGGACCUUUGGCAUUGUCUGGUGAUCCUUGUACUUGUCCUUCAACAGCUCCCAAAUCAGAAGGUCCUCAUGCAUUGGCCCCCUCUUUACUCAACUUGGCUCCAAACUCUAAUCUGGGCCCCUGUGGCUCCCCUUCCCCUGGGAUGGAUGCCUACCUUGCUGUGCCCCAACCCAAUGGCUUUAGGACCAAAUUCUUCAGGAGGAAGAGAAGAAGAGGAAGAAAAGGAGCAGAAAGAUAAAUCUACAUCUCUUCACUUUUACCCACUGGCAUGAAUUCUGUCUUUUGGGGUCUCCCAGAAUAAACAUAAUCA
rnacentral:lncRNA from 10 species